AUUGAACGCUGGCGGCAUGCUUUACACAUGCAAGUCGAACGGCGACGCGGGCUUCGUCCUGGCGGCGGUGGGCGAACGGGUGACGAGUACGUCAGAAGUGGGCCAGUAGUGGGGUAUAGCUCGACGAAAGCCGGAUUAAGACCGCAUACGGCGUGAUGGUGAGAGCGGGGGAUCUUCGGACCUGGCGCUAUUUGGGCUGGCGGUGGCAGCUUAGCGAGUUGUUGGGGUAAAGUCGUACCAAGACGGCGAUCUAUAGCGGUUCUGAGAGGACGACCAGCGACCCUGCGACUGCGGCAAGGCCCAGACUCCUCCGGCAGGCAGCAGUGGGGAAGUUUGGAGAAUGGGCGAAGGAAGGAUCCAGCAACGCCGCGUGUGUGAUGAAGGCCUUCGGGUUGUAAAGCACUUCUGGCGGGAACGAAAAGGACUGUGCUCAUAUCACGGUUCGAUGACGGUACCCGCAGAAUAAGCACCGGCUAACUACGUG
rnacentral:rRNA from 1 species